GACGUAGGGCGCGAGCGUUGUCCGGAUUUAUUGGGCGUAAAGCGCUCGCAGGUGGUCCGAUACGUCGUGCGUGAAAGCCCCCGGCUCAACUGGGGAGUGUCGUGCGAUACGGUCGGACUGGAGGCCAGUAGGGGGAUGCGGAAUUCCGGGUGUAGUGGUGGAAUGCGUAGAGAUCCGGAGGAACACCAGCGGCGAAGGCGGCAUCCUGGACUGGUCCUGACACUCAUGAGCGAAAGCGUGGGGAGCGAUCCGG
rnacentral:rRNA from 1 species